rnacentral:rRNA from 1 species
GCCAGACUCCUACGGGAGGCAGCAGUGAGGAAUAUUGGUCAAUGGGCGCGAGCCUGAACCAGCCAAGUCGCGUGAAGGAUGACGGCCCUACGGGUUGUAAACUUCUUUUGUCAGGGAGCAAUUGAGUCCACGUGUGGUCUUAGCGAGAGUACCUGAAGAAAAAGCAUCGGCUAACUCCGUGCCAGCAGCCGCGGUAAUACGGAGGAUGCGAGCGUUAUCCGGAUUUAUUGGGUUUAAAGGGUGCGUAGGCGGAAUAUCAAGUCAGCGGUAAAAAUUCGGGGCUCAACCCCGUCGUGCCGUUGAAACUGGCUGUCUUGAGAUGUCGAGAGGUAUGCGGAAUGCGCAGUGUAGCGGUGAAAUGCAUAGAUAUCACGCAGAACUCCGAUUGCGAAGGCAGCAUACCGGCGCUCAACUGACGCUCAUGCACGAAAGUGUGGGUAUCGAACAGGAUUAGAUACCCUCGUA